rnacentral:rRNA from 1 species
UGGGGAAUAUUGCACAAUGGGCGCAAGCCUGAUGCAGCCAUGCCGCGUGUGUGAAGAAGGCCUUCGGGUUGUAAAGCACUUUCAGCGGGGAGGAAGGCGAUAAGGUUAAUAACCUUGUCGAUUGACGUUACCCGCAGAAGAAGCACCGGCUAACUCCGUGCCAGCAGCCGCGGUAAUACGCAGGGUGCAAGCGUUAAUCGGAAUUACUGGGCGUAAAGCGCACGCAGGCGGUCUGUCAAGUCGGAUGUGAAAUCCCCGGGCUUAACCUGGGAACUGCAUUCGAAACUGGCAGGCUAGAGUCUUGUAGAGGGGGGUAGAAUUCCAGGUGUAGCGGUGAAAUGCGUAGAGAUCUGGAGGAAUACCGGUGGCGAAGGCGGCCCCCUGGACAAAGACUGACGCUCAGGUGCGAAAGCGUGGGGAGCAAACAGG